AGACUCCACGCCCGUGGGAGUAGUGAGAGGCAUAGGAUGGGACAGAAGGAGAUGCUAAACAGUGAUGCAGAAGCAGCGAAGACCUCCGCAAUCCUGCAGGGAAGCUUGGGAGCUGGUACGGCCCUGCAGAGAUGCACUGAGGGAAGCCAAGCUGCCAUGUUGUAAGCUGCCCUAUGAAGGGACCCACAUGGCAAAGAAUGGAGAAUGACCCCAGCCAGCCAAGAACUCUCAGCCUACCGGCCCAUGAGGAACUGAAUCCUGCCAACAGCGAUGUGAGUGAACUUGGAAGUGGAUCCUUCUCCAGUGGCACCAUCAGCUCACCAUCCAGCCCGCCUGAGGCUCUGCCCACUGACAGGCUACUCCCAGGACAAUACUAGCUCCCCAGGACAAGCACUACACCCAGACGGCAUGUCAUUCAACAAGUCGGGGGCAGGCUUAAGGUGAAAAAUCAUCCCAAUUCUGGAGAUAUUAUCUGAAAAAAAAAGACUGUUUUCAGGAAACAAUCUUCCCAUCUGUGGUGAUUUUUAAAAUAUAGUUCCCAAAUUUUAUGUGGGAAAGGAAAGUAGCAAUAUAGAUGCAGG